rnacentral:rRNA from 1 species
GCUUAGCCCUAAACCUAGGUAGUUAACUUAAACAAAACUAUCCGCCAGAGAACUACUAGCAACAGCUUAAAACUCAAAGGAYUUGGCGGUGCUUUACAUCCCUYUAGAGGAGCCUGUUCUAUAAUCGAUAAACCCCGAUACACCUCACCAUCUCUUGCUAAUUCAGCCUAUAUACCGCCAUCUUCAGCAAACCCUAAAAAGGAAGAAAAGUAAGCACAAGUAUCUUAACACAAAAAAGUUAGGUCAAGGUGUAGCCUAUGAGAUGGGAAGCAAUGGGCUACAUUUUCUAGGACUAGAACACCCACGAAAAUCCUUAUGAAACUAAGAAUUAAAGGAGGAUUUAGUAGUAAAUUUGAGAGUAGAGAGCUCAAUUGAAUCGGGCCAUGAAGCACG